GGUAGAUAAUGAAACUGGAAAGAGACGCCGGUGAGACUUUGGCCGGAGGUGAGUAGGAGGAGUCGUUUUCAGGUGGUUUUGGGGACAAAAGGUUCAUCGAAUUAUCAUAAUACUCUACUUGUCAUAUGUUUCUUUUUCUUCAACCCCCUUGAGGGGAAGGUCUCUGGUUUUUAUCAAGUGAGGGGGCAUUAUCAGAUGACACAAUCCCUUGGAUUUUUUUUUUACCUUGUUUAGUUUGCAUUCUUUGCAUCAUCGUUUUGUCACUUUCUUUUGGGGUUUUGUAUGUUUGGUUAUAAAAGCAUGUUCACAUUUUUAUUUUUAUAUAAAAAAAGUUGUCAGGUCUAUUUCCUCUUUGAUGCAGUUUUAGGAGAUUGCAAUUAGCACAGUUAGUGCGCUUAGCUUAAAGCUUCUGUUUACAGGUACAUUAGAUGUUGUCAUGUCUCUAGACAACAGGUGUACAUCUAUUUUAUUACAAAGGAAUUGUUAUCUCAUUUAAGUUCCUUAUUUACUUGGUUGACUCGAACUGUAAGGGAAAGGUCGCAUGUUAACAGGGAACGUCCUGCCUUACUCUUUCUCUAAAGAGCCAAGUUAAAUCUAAGUACGUCAUACCUCACUCAUAUCCAGCAUUCAAGUUACCUGUUAUUUACGUAUAUUUGUAAAUAAUACCGAACCUAUACAUGACUUGCUGUUUGAAACAAUCUCGACCAUUGAAGUUGUGUGUACUUUAUGGGUUAAACUCUCUAUAUAUGACAGCAAGUUAUGUCAAUAGCUUUAGCAUUAUUGGUAGAAUCUGACAUUUUCUGGUGAACUCUAUAUAUGUUUGAUAUAUCUUCUAGCGAGUUUGUCUCAGCACUUCUACGCAGUCCUGAACAUUUUCUGACAUGAUUCGAACUUUUUACUUGAUAUUAUAUAGGGAAAUUUGACCGCAUGACAAUAUUAGGGUACGAUAUAUGAUAUAUUAUUAUGCAGAAUGCCUAAAAUACCCCAGCAUGAGCGUGAGAUAAAGAGUAAGGUCCAUCUUCUCUUCAUUUUAUAUUUUUUGGAAACUGAACAGUUUAUUCUCACUUUUUAACAUCAAAAAAACCGACAAAAAAAUCAAGAUUUGAAGAGCAAAAAAAUUGUCUGACUUGGGGUAGAUAAAGGUUUAAAGGUUUAAUUUUUGAUAUCCGGUGGUAAAGAGCUUUCGCAUCCGGCAAUUAAAAGUUAGGGUUACAGAGGCAAGGGUAAUCGACAGAGUCAGGAUUGAUUGCAGAGCGGAAAGAGAAGGCAUUGAAUUAUAUCUGGGUGCAAGGGUUGAACGUCACCGGGGGAGAAAGGAAACUCAAUGUCUAUGGCAGAAGACCUGCUUAAUGGAGGCUCGCGACAUCAUGCACAGCCAACGAGACAAAAUUAGAGAGCUCAAAGCA